CUUCACUAGACUAUAUGACAUAAAUGCAGAAGGAAACUGUGAAAUUUUUUAUGGGGAAGCACAUGAUGUGACGUCACUAUGACAUCACUUUGUCCCUUUAUAGUGUUUUUGUGGGAUGGAUUAAAAAUGUCUUCAAUGUAGAGAAUACUGCCACGCACAGUGUUGAAAUGAUUGUAGAAAUGAUAGUAGAAUAGUAGAUCUAGACAGGUGGAGCUGGGGGAGGAGGACAGUUUGCAGAGGAAAUAUGAUAGCGAACUUCAGGAUCACAUUAUAGCGAACAUUGAACCAGACUAUUUAAAUGUUGAGUAAGCAAUCUCAUUGGUUGCAGAAUCAGGGGAGGCCAAUCAGUUUGUGCCAUGCAAUAUAUGAUGUGAUCAGAUUAACUGAGAUACAGAUAGGUGAGUUUGAUCAGGGUUGGAGCUAAACUCUGCAGGAAAGUGGACCUCAGGGGCCAGAGUUGAGAACCCCUGAUGUUAAGCGAUGUCUGCUCCAUCCAGAGUUUCAUGACUGAACUAUACAUAUAGUAUAAUGGAACUAUAUUAGUGUAAAGGGAGUUG
ensembl:lncRNA